AGGCGGACAUUAGUAGCACGAGAAACUGAGACACAUACUCAAGUAAUUGACACAAAAUAACUAAUGAACUCCUUAGUUAAUUACUUUACGACACAUAUUGCCAUUUACCAAUUGUAGCCGGUGAGUUUGCAAGACGCAUCCACUUGAAAUGAAUUUCCAGGAUGACAGCAGUUUUGAGAUAUGAUUUCCCAAAGUGUGAAAGGAAAAAAUACAG
rnacentral:lncRNA from 1 species